AGGAAUAUUGGUCAAUGGACGCAAGUCUGAACCAGCCAUGCCGCGUGAAGGAUGAAGGUCCUCUGGAUUGUAAACUUCUUUUAUCUGGGACGAAAACGGGAUUUUUAUCUCAAUUGACGGUACCAGAGGAAUAAGCACCGGCUACCUCCGUGCCAGCAGCCGCGGUAAUACGGAGGGUGCGCGCGUUAUCCGGAUUUACUGGGUUUAAAGGGUGCGUAGGGGGGCUUAUAAGUCAGUGGUGAAAUCUCCGAGCUUAACUUGGAAACUGCGUUUGAUACUAUAGGCUUUGAAUUAUCUGGGGGUAAGCGGAAUAUGUCAUGUAGCGGUGAAAUGCUUAGAUAUGACAUAGAACACCAAUUGCGAAGGCAGCUUACUACAUAUAAAUUGACGCUGAGGCACGAAAGCGUGGGG
rnacentral:rRNA from 1 species